rnacentral:rRNA from 1 species
CCUACGGGUGGCAGCAGUGGGGAAUAUUGGACAAUGGGGAGAACCCUGAUCCAGCCAUGCCGCGUGUGUGAAGAAGGCCCUCGGGUUGUAAAGCACUUUCAGUGAGGAAGAACGCCUGGUGGUUAAUACCCAUCAGGAAAGACAUCACUCACAGAAGAAGCACCGGCUAACUCCGUGCCAGCAGCCGCGGUAAUACGGAGGGUGCGAGCGUUAAUCGGAAUUACUGGGCGUAAAGCGCGCGUAGGUGGCUUGAUAAGCCGGUUGUGAAAGCCCCGGGCUCAACCUGGGAACGGCAUCCGGAACUGUCAAGCUAGAGUGCAGGAGAGGAAGGUAGAAUUCCCGGUGUAGCGGUGAAAUGCGUAGAGAUCGGGAGGAAUACCAGUGGCGAAGGCGGCCUUCUGGACUGACACUGACACUGAGGUGCGAAAGCGUGGGUAGCAAACAGGAUUAGAUACCCCGGUAGUC